UACGGGGGGAGCAAGCGUUGUUCGGAUUUACUGGGCGUAAAGGGCGCGUAGGCGGUCAGCACAAGUCAGUUGUGAAAUCUCCGGGCUUAACUCGGAAAGGUCAACUGAUACUGUGCGACUAGAGUGCAGAAGGGGCAACUGGAAUUCUCGGUGUAGCGGUGAAAUGCGUAGAUAUCAGUCGGAACACCGGUGGCGAAGGCGGCUUCUUGGGCCGUACCUGACGCUGAGGCGCGAAAGCCAGGGGAGCGAACGGG
rnacentral:rRNA from 1 species